UCUGCAGUCCAGCUUGCAGGAAGGGAACGGAAGCAUAAGGGAAAGAAUGACUCAAGGUCCUGCUGAGGAAAUGGCACACAUCACUUCUUCUCGGAUUCCUUCUGCCCUCAGUCAGUCAUAUGACCCCAUCUCAAUGCAAAGAAGUUGAGGAAGUGCCAUUUAACCGAACUGUACUAACGUAGGGGAUCUUUUAUCUCGAUCAGCCUCAUCAAGCAAAGAAGGGGGUCGGAAGGACUUAAGAUGGAGAACUGACCACACCAUAGUUCGGAUAGAAAAUGAAGAAGCCCCGUGGAGGACACGUCUGAGCCCAGGUGUACAGCAUUAGAGCCCUGCCUCACCUCAAGCUUAUUUUUUCCCUUCAGACUCAGUUUCCAGCCCACCCACCU